rnacentral:rRNA from 1 species
AAAUUGAAGAGUUUGAUCAUGGCUCAGAUUGAACGCUGGCGGCAGGCCUAACACAUGCAAGUCGAACGGUAGCACAGAGAGCUUGCUCUCGGGUGACGAGUGGCGGACGGGUGAGUAAUGUCUGGGAAACUGCCUGAUGGAGGGGGGUAACUACUGGAAACGGUGGCUAAUACCGCAUAACGUCGCAAGACCAAAGAGGGGGACCUUCGGGCCUCUUGCCAUCAGAUGUGCCCAGAUGGGAUUAGCU